CCUACGGGUGGCAGCAGUGAGGAAUAUUGGUCAAUGGUCGGGAGACUGAACCAGCCAAGCCGCGUGAGGGAUGAAGGUACAGAGUAUCGUAAACCUCUUUUGUCAGGGAACAAAGGCGGGGACGUGUCCCCGGAUGAGUGUACCUGAAGAAAAAGCAUCGGCUAACUCCGUGCCAGCAGCCGCGGUAAUACGGAGGAUGCGAGCGGUAUCCGGAAUUAUUGGGUUUAAAGGGUGCGCAGGCGGUUGGUUAUGUCAGCGGUAAAAGCCCGGGGCUCAACCCCGGCCCGCCGUUGAAACUGGCAGUCUCGAGUUGGAGAGAAGUAUGCGGAAUGCGCGGUGUAGCGGUGAAAUGCAUAGAUAUCGCGAAGAACUCCGAUUGCGAAGGCAGCAUGCCGGCUCCACACUGACGCUGAGGCACGAAAGCGUGGGUAUCGAACAGGAUUAGAUACCCGGGUAGUC
rnacentral:rRNA from 1 species